GCCGGCAGCUAGCCCUCUUCAAUUCUCACAUGGCCGCCCACUGAAGUGAAGCAGAGCUGCACCUGGUCAAUAUCUGGAUGGGAGACCACAUGGGAAAGUUAGGUUGCUACUGGAA
rnacentral:rRNA from 1 species